GAUAAACGCUGGCGGCGUGCCUAACACAUGCAAGUCGAACGAUCCCGCAAGGGAGAGUGGCGGAAGGGUGAGUAACACGUGGGAAUCUACCUCCUCGCAGGGAACAACCUCUCGAAAGAGAGGCUAAUACCCAAAAGGGUCAGAAAUGAUCAGAGUCGAAAGGCGUGAGGAGAGGAGCCCGCGGCCCAUCAGCUAGUUGGUGAGGUAAUGGCUUACCAAGGCUACGACGGGUAGGGGAUCUGAGAGGAUGU
rnacentral:rRNA from 1 species